UUUUUUUUUAUUUUUAAUUUUUUUGUCUUUUUCUAGAGAACAGUUUAUUUUUUUAAUUUUUAUUUUAUUUUUGUGUUUUUCUAGGUAAGUGGAUUUAGUGAUUACCCAGGGUUUCAAUACCAGUGAUGUAACGUUACUGUAAGGCAGAACAUUAUUGUGAAAACUUUCUGUUGAGAGAUGCCUGGAGGAUGCCUCUGUUGAGGAGGUAAACUCAAACCCUAGCUUCCCAACCCCAUGGUCCUCUUCCUCAGGUCUUGCACUAGACCAGGUGGUGGUGGGCAUGCAAAUCCCUUUUGGGAAAGACCAGAAGAAGAGGGUCAUGGGGUUUGGGAAGUGGUGCCUCUUCCCUUCCUAGGGUUUGAGUUUGCCUCUGGGCUUGGGGAGAAAGCCCUGCAGUACCUGAGCCGUGUCAACCUGGAACGGGGGAGAAGGCAGCGUAGACUUGCUCUUGUUGGGCAAAGACAUAAAUGAUGGCGUCCGAGCGACAUCACUAGAAAGGAAAUGCUUACAGCGUGUCAGGUACUAUUUGAAUCAUUUUAUGUUUAAGUCUUUCUCACAGCCUAUGACGCUGUCAUUUCUGUAGGUCAGAGCUGGUAAAAUAUUGUCACUUCGACAUAGUUUACAGAUUUUCCACCUUAAGAUGUGAACAAAAGAUUUUUUAAUAAUGACCCAACGUCCCAAAGCUAAUGGGUGGCUGUACAGAUCAAGUGUUCUUGCAGGAACAAAAGGCACCUUCAGAAGGGGAUGACUGAGACAUUAAUGAAAGACUGCUUACAGAUGGGGUUAAAUGAAAUCAACAAGGAUAGAGGAAGUUUCUGGAAAAGCCAUCUUAAAGCAGUCCAGUGGGCACUGGGAGGUGGCUGGAGCUGGAAGCAGGGGGGUGAAGUGUGUGUGUGUGUCUGUGUUUAGGACGGGUGACUUAGAAGUCACCUCUCAGUGUGCUGGUCUUAUAGAUGGUGCCAGUACAAAAGGACUGAGGUCAGGUGUUUAUUCUUUAUAAUAUACAAUGCCUGUCAAAAAUUUUUGCAGGAGCCAUUCCGAGCACAGCAUGGACCACUGCAAGGGAUUGACAGCUAGAUAUUAGUCACGAGUUCUUAAAUACCAUCCAUUUAUCAUCAGCCCUUAAUUAAUGGGGAUCCUUCUGCCCAGAACACGCAGUGAGACUUCUGCCUCCUCUUUAUCCCCUGCCCCCUGCCGGGUCACACUGAGGAGGAAGGAGAAUGACAUGCAAACAUGAUGUCCAAGUUUGAAGAAGCCACCUGUAGCCAGAGCAGCCAGUUCUUGGUAAGUGUCCGGAUACUGUCAGUCAAGCCCGACUUCCCUCUCAACUUUUCAUCUUUACACUGUCUCUUGCCAACCUCUGUUCCCUCUGUUCCAGCUGCCCCCUUCCUCCACUGGCUCCCAUCCGCUAACCCUGAUGGAUGGAAAAUACUUUCUCAGAAGUGACUAGAAGAAACCUGAGAAAUGACUCUUGCACAAGGAAGCCAGGCUGCCCACCCCAUUUGAGGAUGUGUUCAAUCCUAAGGAUAACUCACCUAUUUUAUUGUAUUUUAUUUUUUGGCUGUACCGAUGGCCUGUGGAAGUUCCUAGGUCAGGGUUGAAACUGCACCACAGCAGUGCCAAUGCCAGAUCUUUAGCCCACUGUAUCACCACGGAACUCUGCACCCAUUUUAAAAUCUAAGAACAUCCCAACCAAUGCCCAUGGCGCCCACAGCUGGCUUGACUUCCCCAGAUGCUCCUGAUAAUCUAAUUCUCUCCUAACAUAAGAGGUAAUGUCAUGCUUCAUGCUUCAAAUGGACCAUCCCUGUAUCUUUUUUUCAGGAAACACUCCUUCACCUUAAAUUCAAGUGUUUAAAAGUUCAAAGCACUUAAUGUUUGCACAUAAAGUGAAUUUUAGAUUACAUUCUUUUUUGGAGAGAGUCACAUAACGGGCUGUUACAAAUUCAUUCCAAAAAGCAACUUUCAGAUUCUGUCCUGAGGUCAGUAACAUACAUUCCCUUUGCCUCCUGUACUUACAACUCUGUAAUUACAACUCAAGAAAUAAUAUAUGAGGAUUCUGAUACAUGGAAAGAUCCUGAAAAAGUGUUUUGAAUUAUUAAAGAAGAAAUCAUUCAUAGUAUUGGCAUGAAGUAUAUUACACAGUACUGUCAGCCUUUGAACAUUGCUAAGUCAUGUGUGACAUAUACGGUAUAAAGAAAUCAGACUACUCUGUUCUACCUAUUUCUGCUAGUUGAGAAGUUUUAUACAAAAAAUUCAUUUAAUAAUUCUGACACCUGUGGUCAAUUAAUCUUUGACAAAGGAGGCAAAGAAUAUAAAAUGAGAAAAAGACAGUCUUUUCAGCAAGUGGUGCUGGGAAAACUGGACAGCAACAUGUAAAUCAGUGAAACUAGAACACACCCUCACACCAUGCACAAAAAUAAAUAACACUGUAAAUCAGCUAUAAUAGAAAAGAUAAAAAUCAUUAUAAAAAUGGCCUAAAGACUUAAACAUAAGACAUCAUAAAACUAGAAGAGAACAUAGGCAAAAUAUUCUCUGACAUCAACUGUGUAAAUGUUUCCUUAGGUCAGUCUCCCAAGGCAAGAGAAGUAAAAGCAAAAAUAAUGGGACCUAAUCAAACGUAAAAGCUUUUGCACAGCAAAGGAAAUAAAACCCCAAAAAGACACCCUAUGGAAUGGGAGAACAUAGUUGCAAAUGAUACAACGAACAAGGGCUUAAUCCCCAAAAUAUACAAACAACUCAUACAACUCAACAGCAAAAACAAAAACAAAAAGCAAAAAAACCUGAACAACAACAACAAAAACAACCCAAAUGAAAAAUGGGCAGAAAACCUAGAUAUUUCUCCAAAGAAGAUAUACAGAUAGCCAACAAACACAUGAAAAAAAUGCUCAACAUCACUAAUUAUUAGAGAAAUGUAGAUCAAAACUACAAUGAGGUACCAUCUCACACUGGUCAGAACAGCUAUCAUUAAUAAGUCUACAAAUAACAAGUGCUAGAGAGGGUGUGGAGAAAAGGGAACCCUACUUCUCUGUUGGUGGGAAUGUAGACUGGUACAACCAUUAUGGAAAACAGUAUGGAGGUUCCUCAGAGAACUAAAUAUAGAACUACCAGAAGUUUCAGUAAUCCCACUCCUGGGCAUAUAUCUGGAUAAAAAAACUUUCAUUCUAAAAGAUACAUGCACCACUAUAUUCAUUCCAGCACUAUUCACAAUAGCCAAGACAUGGAAACAGCCUAAAUGUCCAUUGACAGAUGAAUGGAUUAAGAAGAUGUGGUAUAUAUACACAAAGGAAUACUACUCAGCCAUAAAAAAGAAAAUACCAUUUGCAGCAACAUGGAUAGAACUAGAGAUUCUCAUACUAAGUGAAGUAAGUCAGAAAGAGAAAGACAAAUACCAUAUGAUAUCACUUAUAUGUGGAAUCUAAAAUGUGGCACAAAUGAACCUAUCUACAAAACAGAAACAAACUCAUGGGCAGAGAACAGACUUGUGGUUGCCAAGCAGGAGGGGGAGGGAGUGGGAUGGACUGGGAGUUUGGGGUUAGUAGAUGCAAACUGUUGCAUUUGGAGUGAAUAAGCAAUGAGAUCCUGCUGUAUAGCUUAGAGAACUACAUCCAAUCCCUUGUGAUGGAAAAUAAUGGAAGAUAUGAGAAAAAGAAUGUAUACACAUACACACACACACACACAUACAUAUAUAUAACUUGGGUGUCACUUUGCUGUACAGCAGAAAUUGACAGGACACUGUCAAUCAACUAUAAUAAACAUUUUUUUUAAUUUAAAAAAGAUUUUUAAAAAGUCAAAAAAAAAUUGGAAGAACUACUGGAUAAGAAACUCAAUCCAGGAGUUCCUGUUGUGGCUCAGUGGGUUGAGGACCUAAUGUGGUCUCUGUGAGGAUGCAGGUUUGAUCCCUGGUCUCACUCAGUGGAUGAAGGACCCGGCAUUGCCACAAGCUGUGGCAUAGUCCACAGAUGUGGACUGGAUCUGGGGUUGCUGUGGCACCUGCAGCUCCAAUUUGACCCCUAGCCCGGGAACGUCCAUAUGCCGGGGUGUGGCCAGUCGUUGCACCUCUGGGUUUUUCUGUUACCACCUCUAGAGAGGAGAUGCGCUACGACCUCCAAGUUAUAAAAAUCCUCCUGUCAUCCCCACCCUUCUCUUUAGAGCCCAAACUUUGGACUUCAGCUGCAGCUCCUUCUGGGGGUGGGUGUUGCCAUCAGAAGCCCUUUGGUGACCCUCGGUCACUUGUACUGGCAUUGUCACUCUUGGGACAUUUCCCUUAGACUUCUGCUGGUCUCUGUUAAACCAUCAUUUAGUUAACACUCCCGCAGUUACAGAGCAGAGGACAGAACCGGCAGCAGAUGGUAUCUGGAAGCAUAAAGUGACAGACCUGGGAACAUUCCUGGGUGAGAAGCUUCUAUUUCCAGAGUCCUGCUCCUCACCCGGUUCCAGCUCCUUUAUCUGGUGAAGUUCCACAUCCUUUAAGGAUCAAGUCCAAUGUCACUUCUACCUCACUUGGGAGAGGUUCUUUCUCCUCUGGGCUCCUAAUUUUUACCCACCACUGUCACAUCUGUCAUCACCUCCUAUUGCAUAUUGAUUUUUUGCCUGCUUGCUCACCUCUUUAGGAAUAUCCUUACAAGUGGCCAUGAUUGGUUCUUCUCUAGGGUAGCUUAUUUCCAGGCUCUGUGAGCCUGUGUGUAAGGCCUGCCUUGGGUGAUUAUAACAAACAAAUGCUGAAGCCCUUUUGGGUGCAUCAUUUCAAUCUUUUAAAGAUGAUUUCUGGUGCUUCCCUCCUUGGGAACUUUCUACUUUCCUGUCACUUUGGUGAUUCUUAUCAGUGUUCCCUGGUAGACAAUUAAUGGUAUGAUUUUUUUGACCAAUUAGCUCAGGAAGCUCAGACUUCAGCAUCUUAAAAAAAAAAAAAAAUCCCCAAGUGGAGUUCCCGUCGAGGCUCAGUGGUUAACGAAUUUGACUAGGAACCAUGAGGUUGUGGGUUCGAUCCCUGGCCUCGCUCAGUGGGUUAAGGAUCCGGCGUUACUGUGAGCUGUGGUGUAGGUCGCAGAUGUGGCUUGGCUCCCACUUUGCUGUGGCUGUGGCGUAGGCUGGUGGCUACAACUCCGAUUAGACCCUUAGCCUGGGAACCUCCAUAUGCCAUGGGCGUGGCCCUAGAAAAGCCAAAAAAAAGAAAAAAAAAAAGAAAAAGAAAAAAGGAAAAAAAAAAUCCCCAAAUAAUAACCAGCUCAAGAAUACAAAUGUUCUAUGCAGUUCUGGAAUGCUAUCACUUAUUGACUCUAUUCAUUAAAAAAAAAAGGUGCAUGCAAAUCUAAAAUCCCCACACAGAAAAUGGAACUAAUCCACAAAUAAGUGCGUGCCUCAUACACACCUACAUACCAACAAGUAACACGAGAAUCAUAGGAACCUGCAUGUGUAGGUUCUGGAUUCAUCUGGAUUCAUGCUGAACAUUGCUAAGCAUUGUGCCAGCUGCUUCACAGGCCCAGUAUCUUUGACACUAUCCUUGAAAUUCAUGAUGGCAUGAGGGUCAUCACACAUAAGCAUUUUCUUUUUGUCCCUCUGAACAAAGUGAACAUUGACCCGGAUACAGGGAAGGAUCCUAGCUGGGGUCACUCACAUCGCUUGAAUCAUAACAAGAGAAAGACUUUUGCAGUCUCCAAACUUUUUUCAAGCAGAAGCAAGCAGCUGUUCCUGAGAUAAAGCAGUGUGAGUUCUCAUAUACAGAGUUAGUGAUGCAUGGCAUUGAGGGGAGAGGUGAGGGGGGAACUCAAUCAUUGCAUCAAACUGCCGUUUUCAAUUUUACAAAGAACUCUUGCAUGUGUUCUUAUUUGAUAAUAGCCUCACAGAAUCAAAGGCUUUUCACCAUAGCAACCUUAGUAGUUGGCCCUUUUUAACAUUGAAGAAACUGAGGCUCAAAUGCUUAAGUGACUCCCUUAGAGUGACAAAACUAGUUAAGUGGUAGGAGAUGGGAUUACUGAGUCCAGGGUCUACAGGUUUAGCUUUUGUUUUUUUAGGACAUGCUUGCUUAAAGAAAGACAGCACUAGUGAGAGACAGUUUUACACAGAGGAAAGCAAAAAUUGAGCCAACCACAGAAGCACCCUCUUUCAAUUAUACAGUGGUUAACACUUAAAAUUACUUUCCCAGUAUCCUAAAUGACUGCCCUUACAAAGCAAAUGCACUGCCUAAACCAUGGCUGCAUGCUUUUUCUUUACUUGGAAGGAUCUCUCAGAGAGCAUUACUAAAAAUAACUUCAUUAUCUGUAAUAGAAACUCAUCUAUCACCAUUCUAAUUAGAAUGUGACUAAAGAAAUCAGUAGUGAACAAAGGCGUUUUGGACAUUUGGUGCCUAUAAUGAUGGCUUUGAAGUUCCAGGGAAAAGUCAGUUUUCCAAAUGUCUCCUCAUUUAUAUCUCUCACUCGCCAUUCUUCUCAGUUCUCAAAGAAACUGUUUUUAAAUAUAUAUAAUAAUGGUAAUAGACAUUUGCAGAAACUGGAAAAAUAGAACAGCACAAAGAAGGAAAAAAAAACUUAUAUGCUCUCCUCUCAGAGAAAAUCACUACUAUUUUGAUGUGCCUGAGCAUUUUCUGCACAGAUAAGCAUUUCUGCCUACUUAGCACCAUAGUGUAUAAACUCUUUUGUUACCCACUUUCACACUUAUUAGAAUUAUUUCCUCCAUCAGGUAGAUAUUCUACAGUUUUUGGUGGUUGCACAGUAUUCUACUUACUAAAUUGCAUUAUUUAUAAAUUUUCCACUUCACUGAAUAGUUACUGAUUUUUAUGAGCAACCGUGCUAAAUAGCCUUGUAUAUUAAUUUCUGCAAACCUGUCAUAUUGAAGAAAAAUUCCCAGAAACAGAUUUGCUGGGUCAAAUCUUUAGGCAAAAUUUAAGAAUAUACAUCUUGGGAGUUCCCGUCGUGGCGCAGUGGUUAACGAAUCCGACUAGGAAACAUGAGGUUGUGGGUUCGGUCCCUGCCCUUGUUUAGUGGGUUAACGAUCCGGCAUUGCUGUGAGCUGUGGUGUAGGUUGCAGAUGUGGCUCAGAUCCCGCGUUGCUGUGGCUCUGGCAUAGGCCAGUGGCUACAGCUCCGAUUCGACCCCUAGCCUGGGAACCUCCAUAUGCCGCGGGAGCGGCCCAAAGAAAUAGCAAAAAG
rnacentral:lncRNA from 1 species